rnacentral:lncRNA from 1 species
GGGGCCUGGCCGCCGGCUGCUCGCUGGCCGGCCUUGGGACGCGGCCUUUCUGGGAUGGCGGGGAGAGUUCAGCGCAUAUCCAAGCAGCUGGAAGAAUGUGAAGAGCACAGGAAAGGGCAGGUAACUGUGCUGGAAGAGCAUAAAGCAGCAGCUUCACGAUCCAAAUGCAACUUUAAUUUUUGCAACACUAUUGAAGUCAGAGAGGACUGGAAAGACAACCACAGCCUGGAAACGGUCUCCCUUCUUCUGGAGAUUCACUGUCUCGUCUACAACCACUUGAGCAGAAGAAGCAGAAGUCCUGCACAGGCUGCUCUGUUUUGGGCACAAAAUCUUCUGGCUGAUGGUAGUAAAAUCAGUUUUGAAGUAAAAAAUAUAGUUAUGGAAGUAAUGCCUAAUGCAGGUAAUUACAAAGAGUUCAAGCUAAGGUUUUUCAAACAGUCUCUGCUGUCACAUAGCCUAUGUUUUAGGGUUUGAUUUCCCCACCUGUGCAAUAUUCUCACUCAGUGGUUGUGUAACAAGUAGACUGUCUAUCCAUUAAUGGAAAAUGAAAACACAACACACCUAAGACCCAUGUCAUAAGAAAAAAUGCCUGCACCAGCUCUAGACUAGGCUUAUAUAUGUCUUAACAUACAGGAAAGAAAAAAAAAGCAUGACUGGGCCAUUGUUUCAUCUGAAGUAUUGCAAAGUUUUUCCCAAGGAAUAAAAGCGUGUGAAGGACCCCCAUCCUGAAUGGGAUUUUUGCAACUUUUGACCCACUGCAAACAUGAGACCUCAGUCUGUGAAAAUACGGUAGGCUUAAAAAUCCAAUCAGCCUAUGGCAGUCAGGCGAGCCAAAGGAGUGGCUUUCCAUCUCCCUUUCCAUCAGGGAGGCUGGUGGUCACCUCGUGAAUGCUUCUACUGGCACAUGUGCUUGCGUGUGUGCUGUCUGCUCAGCCCUGCUCCCAGCACCUCUUGGCAGAGCCACGACAAAAAUAAAUGGAGGUGUGAAAGCCAUAUUUACACAGCCUUAAACAUACUCUGUGCAGAAGAUUUAAGGGCUUGCUGAGAGAUGGUGUGACAAGCUUCAGCAGGGAGCACGUCCUGCAGAGCCCUGAUGUCUCAUUCAGGUCAUGCCUCUCCUAUGACCUCUCCAAAGAGAAGUCUUCCUAAGGGAAGAGAUGUAGCGUGUUGUUUGGAUGUUUGAAAACAGAUAUAUAUAUAUUUGUGGGAAAAAUCCAGUGUUAAUGAAGUUUGAUCCCUAAUCUCAAUAGAGCAGGAGCAUUGCUCUCCCAGAAAUGUUCUUAACUGUUCAAAAAGUCAUUCUAAUCUCCCAGUUAGCAAAUAAAUCGUAUAUGAAAAGAAACAAACACUGUAAGCUGGGAUCCUACAAAGAAGUUACUUUAAAAAAGAAGUUGAUUUCACAUCAUUUGUCAAAAAAAAAGAAGCAAGGGUAGAAGUAUUACAUUAAGUUUUCAUUGUUUGCCAUUUAAAUAACAUCUUAGUUUGACGUACCUUUGGACAUCAGUCUUACUCUUUAUAGACUUAAUAUUAAAGCUGGAAAAACAUGAAGCUGCAAGAAAUCUUUGUGGCAAUGUACAUUCUGACUGAGAUAAGCCUGUUUUCACAUUCACAUGAUACUGACAAAACUGGAGUAACUUGUUGAUAUAUUUUGAGGACUGUCAGCCUAUUUUUCCUUCAGGAUGACUUUGGAAUUUUACGGUGAAGAGUGGCAUAAAGCAGAUAUCGAGCCAAAAGCUUGUCUUUAAUGAACAGUACUUACUACAUAAAGAAAUCAGCAUCCAUACCGCAUCUCCUUUCAAGAAAUCCCUUUUUGAUUCUAUUCUGAGUCACUGAUGGAGAACACGGGGUAUGAAUGGCAAUAAACGUCGUGAUAUAAAAUAAUAAAUACAUUUUCACUGUAAAAUAUUAUUUAGCUAGGUCUUGGAUGGUGAAUAAAAUAUUCAUGCAUCAAGGCAGUCAAAAUCUUCAUGCUCCUGCUUUGCAUGUGCAAGGGAUGAAGGACUCCUGCUGUUACCAGACAGUAAGAAAGGGGUAUGGGCCAUUCGUGCUACUAGCACAGGUAGUGUGUCAGCACUAGCUAUUACACUGGAGCAAAUGAGGUGGGAUUCAACUGUCCGAAUGUGACUUGCAGCCAGAGGUGUGUGAGAGCUCUGGCCACAGCUGCACGAGGCUGUUUUUCUCAAAAGCCAGUUCUGAUCCUCAGAGGAUGCAGUUCCUAUGAGACUGCAGUCCCUGGAGAGAUGAAGGCAACAGUGACAGAGAGG